AUUGAACGCUGGCGGCAGGCCUAACACAUGAAAGUCGAGCGGAGCGGCGGACGGGUGAGUAAUGCCUAGGAAUCUGCCUGGUAGUGGGGGAUAACUUACGGAAACGGGCGCUAAUACCGCAUCCUAUCAGAUGAGCCUAGGUCGGAUUAGCUAGUUGGGGGGGUAAAGGCCUACCAAGUCGACGAUCCGUAACUGGUCUGAGAGUAUGAUCAGUCACACUGGAACUGAGAAAAGGUCCAGAAUCCUACGGGAGGCAGCAGGGGGGAAUAUUGGACAAUGGGCGAAAGCCUGAGCCAGCCAUGCCGCGUGUGUGAAGAAGGUCUUCUGAUUGUAAAGCACUUUAAGUUGGGAGGCGGUACCAACAGAAUAAGCACCGGCUAACUUCGUGCCAGCAGCCGCGGUAAUUC
rnacentral:rRNA from 1 species